UACGUAGGGUCCGAGCGUUGUCCGGAGUUACUGGGCGUAAAGCGCGCGCAGGCGGCGGUGUUGGCCCGGCGUGAAAGCCCCCGGCUCAACCGGGGAGAGUCGUCGGGGACCGCACCGCUUGAGGGCGGUAGGGGCUGGUGGAAUGCCUGGUGUAGUGGUGAAAUGCGCAGAUAUCAGGAGGAACACCCGUAGCGAAGGCGGCACUCUGGGCAUUACCUGACGCUGAGGAGCGAAAGUGUGGGGAGCGAACAGG
rnacentral:rRNA from 1 species